rnacentral:snoRNA from 1 species
ACCCUUCAGAUUCCUUACCCAUAUGAUCUAAACAUUAGUCUGAGUGGCUGUAAAAGGAGAAAAAGUAAAACUGAAACAGACUUGCAUUCUUUUGUGACAUACUGUAAGGCAGCAGUGACUCCAUGACAGGCCGAGCCUCUUAAAAUAGGC